UUCGAGUGGCGGACGGUGAGUAACGCGUGGGUAACCUGCCUUACACAGGGGGAUAACACCUGGAAACAGGUGCUAAUACCGCAUAAGCGCACAGGGCCGCAUGGCCCGGUGUGAAAAACUCCGGUGGUGUAAGAUGGACCCGCGUCUGAUUAGCUUGUUGGCGGGGUAGGGGCCCACCAAGGCGACGAUCAGUAGCCGGCCUGAGAGGGUGGACGGCCACAUUGGGACUGAGACACGGCCCAAACUCCUACGGAAGGCAGCAG
rnacentral:rRNA from 1 species